GGGCCCGCACAAGCGGUGGAGUAUGUGGUUUAAUUCGAUGCAACGCGAAGAACCUUACCAGGGUUUGACAUCCUGCGAAUCUCUUGGAAACAGGAGAGUGCCUUCGGGAACGCAGUGACAGGUGGUGCAUGGCUGUCGUCAGCUCGUGUCGUGAGAUGUUGGGUUAAGUCCCGCAACGAGCGCAACCCACGUCUUUAGUUGCCAGCAUGUAAUGAUGGGAACUCUAACGGGACUGCCGGUGAUAAACCGGAGGAAGGUGUGGAUGACGUCAAGUCAUCAUGCCCCUUACAUCCUGGGCUACACACGUACUACAAUGCUACGGACAAAGGGCUGCAAGUUCGCGAGGACAAGCAAAUCCCAUAAACCGUGGCUCAGUUCAGAUCGUAGGCUGCAACUCGCCUACGUGAAGGCGGAAUCGCUAGUAAUCGCAGGU
rnacentral:rRNA from 1 species